CAACAAGAUUAGACCAUAGAAGAGACUGAAUAAAGGGUCCGUGUUUUCCCUACAUGUACGAGUUGAGAUUGAUGACUUUUCUAUUGAAUGGUUAUUGCAUUGCUGUUACAAUUCCGUAACUGACUGGGACGGAUAGUACUAGGAAAUGUAUAUAGAAUAUAAAUAUAAGCGGUAAAUAUUAAAAUUGGCUGCACACGAAUGUUUGUCGACAAAGGACAAUGUAGAUAACUACAUUUUCAAGAUAUUCAAAGUUGAUAAUUUUCACUUUUUGGUACAUUGUAUUGUGAUUGAAGAUAUAUAAUUAAAUGCAAUGUCCACAAUAGUUGUUCAAUACGAUCUUGAUUACAAACAACGUCAUUAGAUUCACUUUUUCGAUUUAUAUCCAAAAUCUACAUGCACAUACAAUUCGAUUUCGGGUGAAAAGCUUCUCAGUAAAGUGGAUAUCAAUUACUUCAAUAUAAAAAUUGAGAAAAUGUAACACUGUUUGAAUUUACUACCUUAUUAUUUGCAGUCAGUUUAAUACUGUCUUGUUUUGAUAAUCGAACACAUUUUUGAUAUCAAGGAACAUCUGCUGGACAUUCAGAAUACUGAUAUUACGGACAAUCCAAAACUCUGUAGAAAUCGUCCAGAAGGGUCAAGUCAAGAAAACAUAAUGAUGAAUUUACUUCCGAGGCAACUUAAAAACAUGUGUUCGAAAGAUAUGAAGGAGGAUCUGUCAGCAGAAAGAGUUCUUGAAAUGCUGGAAAAAGAAUCUUUGGUGAUAAUCACAGGAAAUCCUGGAGACGGUCAAUCUAAACUGGCAAAGAAAUGCAUAGAUGAUUUAAUCUAUUCACAUUCAAACAUCAGUCCAGUUAGAAUUAGGAGAAGCUCCGAUGUUGUUAAAAUGAGAGAUGUGAUGUUAAAAGGAGACAAUUCUUCAAUCAUUUUGGUGGACGGACCUUUCGACCAAAUUGACACUAGAACAGAGAUUACAGAAGACAUUUUAAGAGAAGUAGAGGACAGAAUCGAAUAUGGUGCAGUUGGAGUAAAAUGUGUGAUUGUCAUGCAAAAAGAUACGUUAAACUUUGUAAAAACUUAUUUCAAAAACAUGGAGUGGCUGCGAAACGAACGGAUCAUUGACAUGACUGGAAGUGAUCCAAACAUGGAAAGCCUUACCAAUCACAUUCAAAACAUGGAUGGACAUUGUAUUUUUCUAUUAGGAUUGAUAGCCCUGAGUGACGGAUCAUUGAGUUCUUGCACACUGUAUUGUUUGAAUAGUGAAGAUAGCAGAGUAAGACAUGCUUCCGAGUUUGCAGGAAUUGCGUUUAACAAUUCUAUGUCGAAGUUCCUACGUCAAAUAGCAACAGCCUUUUUGGACAUUUACAUCAUCAAAAAGUCAGGCAAAUUCUUUUUCAAAGAUCAGACUGUAUCCGACGCGGUUUAUUUGUCCCUUUCGAAGAUGAAUCCCUGGAAGUAUAUAGAACUUUGUCCUCUCUCCAAGCUUCAGAUGCCAUUUGUCAGUAUGUUGAAUGAGCAGUCAUUACUUGAUUCUUUUGAGAAGCGAAUUAUUUCUGAAAUGGAACGAGAUAUUCCUAGAUUCGAUGACUUCAUGAAGUUAAAUGUUUGGCAUAAAGAUGUACUCUUUGGUGUUGGACCAAAACUAGUAAAUUCAAUGCUUACUUUAGAAGAUAGUGCUGCAAGACAAUUCCUGAAUUCUGUUCAUAGAAGUGGAAACAUCCCUCUUCUUUCAUUUUUAUUCAUUUCACUACCAAAUCUGAAGUACAACAGAUUAGAAAAAACACUUGUUCUUAAUAGGAGGACAAGCGGAAAUGCAAAACACAUUUGUUUAUGUCGUGAGGAAAUUCCCCCAUCAUUGUUUGAGACAAAACAAGUCUCUAAUAGCAUACCUAUUCAUUUCAUCAAUGAUUUUUUCAAAAGAAAUAUUCUGUCUUGGCCUGGAGGACGCAGCGUUUUCGUUGAAUGUUCUUACCCCGCAAGGGAGUUUGAAAGGUACAUAGCAAACGAACGAGAGAAGAUUGAAAUAUACAAAGUAGGCCAUAAAGAUUGUGAAUGUCGAAUUCUUCCUUUUACCGCACGUCAAAAAGAACAACCUCGUAUAUCAUCAGUUUUACUCAAACUUUUGAAUGGAUUUGUUGGAGCUAGUUUCAUAAAUUACAAACAUUUACUCAUUGAAACCGGCGAGGAACUAAAGAUGGGUUGGUAUAUACAGAUAGCUGUAUCUCAUGCAGAUGCAGAAUUUAUGAAAAGUACAUAUUCUAACAUAAGAAAAUCAUCCAAUUGUUUUUUGACGUCGAGACUUGAUGAAAUAGUGACAACAAAAUUCAAGAAACUUCAUAAAGAUUGCACCUUUUUGAGCAUUUGGACUGGUACACAAUAUGAGGAAAAUAAGGGCAAACCUAUUGACACAAUCGUUGCAAUUGUGCAAAAUAAACAAAAGCAUUUUGAAAAUGAGUUUUGGGGAUUACAGGUUAUAGUUCGAGAGGAAAACGAAUUUAGUUAAGAAGCUACAGACGCGUUGUCCCACACCCGAAGCAAUUUCAGUAAUGAUGUAAUUGAGUUAAGUGGGCAUACAGUUUGCAACCUUUUCAAGAAACAUACCAACAUCACUCUUAUUAGCACUUCUAGCAUUAGGUCUCAAAGGUAUGGAAAAGAAAAUGCUGUCAUAAUGCAGAGACCUUGUGUUGUACUAUACUGUCGGGUUAAAGGCAUCAUUCCUAGAGGUGAGGAUAUGUUCCCUCAAGAAAUUGAAAACCACCCUGUUGAUGUACGAGAAGGUUCCUGCAGUUUUGCAGCGAAUACAAUACGAGCUGGAGACAAGAUAAAAUCAGAAAACCGGACGUGGACUGGUACAUUAGGGGGUUUUGUGAAUUGUGCAGGUUCCAAAAACAACGCAUUCAUAACAUGUGCACACGUUCUGUAUCAAAGGAAGGAUCUGGGAGAGAAUCUGGAAAAGUUGUCUAGGAAAACCGAGCAAAAUGUCUCUGUAUCUAUCAACGAUAAGUGGCACACCACAGGAAGAGUUAGGCGUGCUGUUUUUAAUAAUACCAAAGAGGAAGAAGUGAGUGUUGAUGCAGCGCUUGUAGAUUUGACGGAUUGUUCUUUUGGAAACGAUGGUCAGUUUUCCGAAACAUACAGCAGAAAGCAAUUGCAGGGAACAGGAAUCUAUGGUCAACGCACGAUAUCGUUUUCAUCUGGCAAAAUAGAAACCAUCAACAGCAAUAACAAGAAAAACGUCUUCUUGAAAGUGGGAGCGGAGAGUGGACUUACUGCAGGACAAUUUUGUGGACCCAUUCACCCUAAAUUAGACAAUCUAAAUGAUGAAUAUUCCCCUAGCAUUUAUUUGUAUCAUCAAAUUGAAAUUGUACCCUUAUCAAAAGAAACCCCAUUCCUAAAGAGUGGAGAUUCUGGAUCUUUCAUCUUCAUGUUGAAGAAUACCAACCCAGUAGAAUUGACAUGUGUGGGUAUAGCCGUGGCCUCUACAUCUCACGGCUCGUGCAUAAUGACGCCAAUAAGCCGUGUUCUGGAGGCGUUGAAGCUUCCAGAAAAUUCUCUGUCUGUCUUUGAAAACUCAUCAGUGAAUACAAACCCUGAAUAUGUUACAAAUGAGGCAUUGGUUAACCUCCUUAAAAUACAAACAGAUACGUUAAAGGAUUUUCUGCAGGAAAACACUGAAAAUAUCAAAACUGAGAUAACAGAAUUAUCAAAACGAAUUAAAACUGUUGAAGACAAAAUAAGCAAUAAUUUGGAAGAGAGGCGUCAGGACCAGAGAAAAUAGAUACAGUCCUUGUAUUGAAAAGCGAAUUGAUCGCAGCUGUAUUGACUAGAACAUGUCUUAUUGUGUAUAUGAAUACAAUCAAAAGAAUAAGAAACAACUAACACUGUAUGGGUUCUUUUCCUAGAGUUCAAUUAUCGUAACGGUUGCAAUUGUCAUGAAGAAUUUUCGAUGAAAUAUUAUUUCAAAUCGUAAGUUAAAAUAAAGUACUGCUAUA